GAAGGGGUCCCGCCCCAGAGCCCUCCCAGGCGAGGGCCUGGCGGUGACUCAGCAAAGCAGAACGGAGGCCUCUGGGGAUGCCCAGCGCAGCGGGAGGGGCCCAGAGGACCGAAGCGCCAAGUGAUAACAAACUGCCCCCCUAGGUGCUGUCCCCCUGGAAGUCUGCACUCUUCACAGCUUCCCAGGUGGGGUCCUGUGAGAAGUCAGACCUGCUGAGUCAAAGUCCUGUCCUCUCAUGGUGGGGUUUGUGGGAGCAGAAGUAACCCCAUCCCUUGCCAAAGGUUUUCUGAAGUUCCCUGUAUUUUCUUUGGGAUGUGGUGCCAAGCCUGUAGGCCGGUGCUGGGGCAACCAGAGACAAGACCACUGCAGGACUUAGGCCAAGCUGCUGUGGGCCACCUCAAGGACUCUGAGGAUCACAGGGGAUCAAGCCCAUCCAGAGCCCAGGGACUGCGUUGGUUUCUCCACGGAGGAGAGGAGGAACCGAGCGGUUCGUGGGAGGGAGUCCCACACUGCACUUCACUGCUCCUCCCCGGCAAGGGAGAGACACACCCUGGGCUCCUAACUGUGCUAAUUCAUUCCACCUGGUGACUUUCCCCUGGCUCCUCCCCCUACCUGGAACUCUCCCUCCUUCCUCUUGCGUGGCAACUGCUCUGUAAUUGUCACCUCCUCUGCGAGGCCUUUCCUGAUCAACCCCUUGGGAAAAUCCCCAGACACUUGGAUAUUACCUCCAUAUAACCC